GUCUACGGCCAUACCACCCCGAACGCGCCCGGUCUCGUCUGAUCUCAGAGGCUAAGCAGGGUCGGGCCUGGUUAGUCCUUGGAUGGGAGAAUUACAACAGGAUCCGGAAAUU
rnacentral:rRNA from 1 species